GAUCUGGUGGUGCGGGUGAUGCCGUCCAUUCUGGGUGGCCGCAAGGACGGGCUGACCCGGAUUGAUGAGUUCGAGGCCCGCCAUGUCG
rnacentral:tRNA from 1 species